GAACGUUCCCGACUGCUCUCUGUCCUUUUAACGUGGAACGUUCCGUUUGUCCUUUUAACGUGGAACGUUCCCGACUGAUCUCUGUCCUUUUAACGUGGAACGUUCCCGACUGAUCUCUGUCCUUUUAACGUGGAACGUUCCGACUGCUCUCUGUCCUUUUAACGUGGAACGUCCCGACUGAUCUCUGUCCUUUUAACGUGGAACGUCCCGACUGCUCUCUGUCCUUGGAACGUUCCACGUUAAGACACGUUAAAUUGUGUUACAGUAAAGUCUUUAUUAAACUCCUUCCUGCUCCUAAACUACAGAGGAUAUUGGGUCAGACCCCCUCUCUCUCUCAAGCAUGAUGCCUCUCCCAAUAAGUGUUUUGUAAUUUUAUAAAAUACCAGAUUAGUUUAAUCUCCACUGUAAUUUGUAUUUUAUUUCAUGUGUAAAGGUCUAACAUGUCCUGUUCAGGAACUACAUUAGGAGUAGAUUAGGAGUUACUACAUUAGGAGUAGAUUAGGAGUUACUACAUUAGGAGUAGACUACAUUAGGAGUAGACUACAUUAGAGUAGACUACAUUAGGAGUAGAUUACAUUAGGAGUAGAUUAGGAGUAGACUACAUUAGGAGUAGAUUAGGAGUUACUACAUUAGGAGUAGAUUAGGAGUUACUACAUUAGGAGUAGACUACAUUAGGAGUAGAUUACAUUAGGAGUAGAUUACAUUAGGAGUAGAUUAGGAGUAGACUACAUUAGGAGUAGAUUAGGAGUAGACUACAUUAGGAGUAGACUACAUUAGGAGUAGAUUACAUUAGGAGUAGAUUACAUUAGGAGUAGAUUAGGAGUAGACUACAUUAGGAGUAGAUUAGGAGUUACUACAUUAGGAGUAGACUACAUUAGGAGUAGAUUACAUUAGGAGUAGAUUACAUUAGGAGUAGAUUGUAAACCACCUAUGCCUGUUUGUUUUUUUAAAAUUAAGAAUUGAUUAAUUUACCUAAUAAUUCACUGUUGGAUAAUAUUCCUAAUUCAUUAUUUAACGGUAGCUAGUAGUAAUUGAUUAUUUAACGGUAGCUAGUAGUAACUGAUUAUUUAACGGUAGCUAGUAGUAACUGAUUAUUUAACGGUAGCUAGUAGUAACUGAUUAUUUAACGGUAGCUAGUAGUAACUGAUUAUUUAAGGCUGCCAGGGUCUCUCUGACCCACACAGACACGGGUGAUCAACUCAUAACGCUGCCCGGGGUCACUCUGACCCACACAGACACGGG
ensembl:lncRNA